rnacentral:rRNA from 1 species
AUUGAACGCUGGCGGCAUGCUUUACACAUGCAAGUCGAACGGCAGCACGGGGGCAACCCUGGUGGCGAGUGGCGAACGGGUGAGUAACACAUCGGAACGUGUCCAGUAGUGGGGGAUAACCAAUCGAAAGAUUGGCUAAUACCGCAUACGAUCUACGGAUGAAAGCGGGGGAUCCGCAAGGGCCUCGCGCUAUUGGAGCGGCCGAUGUCCGAUUAGCUAGUUGGCGGGGUAACGGCCCACCAAGGCGACGAUCGGUAGCUGGUCUGAGAGGAUGAUCAGCCACACUGGAACUGAGACACGGUCCAGACUCCUACGGGAGGCAGCAGUGGGGAAUUUUGGACAAUGGGCGCAAGCCUGAUCCAGCCAUGCCGCGUGAGUGAAGAAGGCCUUCGGGUUGUAAAGCUCUUUCGACGGGGACGAAACGGUCCGUGCUAACACCACGGACUAAUGACGGUACUCGCAGAAGAAGCACCGGCUAACUACGUGCCAGCAGCCGCGGUAAUACGUAGGGUGCGGGCGUUAAUCGGAAUUACUGGGCGUAAAGCGUGCGCAGGCGGCUCCUUAAGUCAGAUGUGAAAUCCCCGGGCUUAACCUGGGAACUGCGUUUGAAACUGGGGAGCUAGAGUGUGGAAGCGGU